AUUAGUUGGCCUAUCCGUUGCAAGUGCUAGAGCACCUAAUGUAUCCAUGAUGAGGUUCACCCAUAGCAGUUGAACCGUAGUCAACGGAACCUCACCGGCUGAAACUGCUGCAAUGAAGUUGAUCACGAGAGCUGCGACAUUUACGGUAAGUUGAAAUUGAAUGAAUUUUUGUAUGUUAUUGUAAACACAUCUUCCCCACCUUAAAACUGUGGCAACUGAGCUAAAAUUGUCAUCUAAGAUGACAAUGUCCGAGCUCUCCUUGGCUACCUCAGUGCCUUGAAUGCCCAUUGAAAGUCCGAUAUCAGCUUCUUUUAGUGCAGGAGCAUCAUUGGUGCCAUCCCCUGUGACCGCGACCACAUGACCUUUCUGUUUCAAGCACUGUACCAUCAAAAGCUUGUCAAAUGGUGAGGACCUUGCCAUCACCCGGAUCUUUUCUACCUUCUCCAUUCUCUCAUCAGGUGCGUAAUUUCGAAACUCGAUUCCUUCAACUACUUCUCCACUUCCUUGCUGGUAAUCUGGUCCUAGAAUUCCACAUUCUGUAGCUAUAGCUUUAGCUGUGAACAUGUUGUCUCCAGUAAUCAUUUUGAUGCUCACCCCUGCAGAUUGGCAAGCCUGCACAGCUUUCUUGACCCCUGGCCGACAUGGAUCCUUUAAACCAACUAUCCCAAGCAAGGUUAAACCAUCUUCUUUUAUUCCACGAUUCGUCUUUCUGCUUUGAUCAUCACCAUCUUCUGUCUCUCCUUUCAAAACUUGCUUAUGAGCAAAAGCAAUGCAUCGUAGACUACUGGCUGCCAUGCUUUGGAUUAUGGUUUCGAUUCUGUCCCUUCCGUCUUCGUUCAUCGACCGUAUGGUCCCAUUGCUUUCAUAAUAUUGUGAACACAUGGCUACAAUCAUCUCUGCAGCUCCUUUCCAAUGUAUGUGUACCAUUUCAUCAGCCUUUUUCUGAACUGAUACCCCGCUACGCUUUUUCUCCGAGUUGAAGGUUUCAACGUGGAGAAUGCUGUAUUGUUGCUUCAGCUUUUCAAUAUUCAUAUCCAAGCCUAGGACACCCCAAGACAGAAUUGCCUUCUCGGUUGGACUGCCUGAAAACUCGGGAAGGGAUCCCGAGACAGGUUUGCAGACACUACCAGUUGUGUUCAAUCCAACUCCUUGGUAGAAUAAUUCAAGAACACUUGGGGCAAUUUUUUUGGCAAGAUCUUCUUCAACGGACUCUUGGCCGAGCCAAAACUGGGUAACUUUCAUCUGAUUCAAUGUCAAGGUGCCAGUUUUGUCCGUACAAAUGAUUGUAGCCGAGCCCAUUGUUUCACAAGCUGAAAGUUUUCGAACCAUUGCUUGAUCAGCCAUCAUUCUUUUCAUCGAGUAAGCAAGUGUAAGAGUGACAGCCAAUGGUAGACCUUCUGGGAUAGCCACGACCACAAUCGUUACUGCAGCAGCAAUAAUACGAACAACUGCAUUCAAGAUAUCGUCUACAUCGGUCUCACUCCCACGAUACUCUGUCUGGCCAUUGUCAUCUUUCGUAUUUCCAGUGAAAUAACGAAUUAACAAGACUGCAAGAACUAGAAAGGCAACCACAAGACCUACCUUUCCGAUGGAAGAGGUCAGUUUGUCAAGUCGAGCUUGUAGCGGCGUUCUCUCGUUUUUAUCACUGGUUAUUGAACUCAUCAUUUCACCCCAUGCAGUAUCCAUUCCGACUGAUACUACAAGCAUUCGAGCGUAUCCAUCGACUACCUUAGAACCAGAAGAAAGAAAAGGGUUCCUGCAAGCAUCAACUUCCACAUGGUCGCUCUCGCCCGUCAUGCUUGAUUCAUCCACUUGCAGUGAAUGUCCAU
rnacentral:lncRNA from 1 species